AGUAAUGUAUCGGAACGUACCUUUCAGUGGGGGAUAACGUAGCGAAAGUUACGCUAAUACCGCAUAUUCUGUGAGCAGGAAAGCAGGGGAUCGCAAGACCUUGCGCUGAUUGAGCGGCCGAUAUCAGAUUAGCUAGUUGGUGAGGUAAAGGCUCACCAAGGCGACGAUCUGUAGCGGGUCUGAGAGGAUGAUCCGCCACACUGGAACUGAGACACGGUCCAGACUCCUACGGGAGGCAGCAGUGGGGAAUUUUGGACAAUGGGCGCAAGCCUGAUCCAGCAAUGCCGCGUGCAGGAUGAAGGCCUUCGGGUUGUAAACUGCUUUUGUACGGAGCGAAAAGGCUCUCUCUAAUACAGGGGGCUCAUGACGGUACCGUAAGAAUAAGCACCGGCUA
rnacentral:rRNA from 1 species